rnacentral:sRNA from 1 species
AACUUUCGGUUCAGAGUUCAUAGUAGCCUUUCUUGC